rnacentral:rRNA from 1 species
UACAGAGGUCCCAAGCGUUGUUCGGAAUUACUGGGCGUAAAGGGCGCGUAGGCGGCCCGCUAAGUCGAACGUGAAAUCCCCGGGCUCAACCCGGGAACUGCGUCCGAUACUGGCAGGCUUGAAUCCGGGAGAGGGAUGUGGAAUUCCAGGUGUAGCGGUGAAAUGCGUAGAUAUCUGGAGGAACACCGGUGGCGAAGGCGGCAUCCUGGACCGGUAUUGACGCUGAGGCGCGAAAGCCAGGGGAGCAAACGGG